rnacentral:rRNA from 1 species
AACGAACGCUGGCGGCAUGCCUAACACAUGCAAGUCGAACGAGACCUUCGGGUCUAGUGGCGCACGGGUGCGUAACGCGUGGGAACCUGCCCUUAGGUUCGGAAUAACUCCCCGAAAGGGGUGCUAAUACCGGAUAAUGUCUUCGACCCAAAGAUUUAUCGCCUUUGGAUGGGCCCGCGUUGGAUUAGCUAGUUGGUAGGGUAAAAGCCUACCAAGGCGACGAUCCAUAGCUGGUCUGAGAGGAUGAUCAGCCACACUGGGACUGAGACACGGCCCAGACUCCUACGGGAGGCAGCAGUGGGGAAUAUUGGACAAUGGGCGAAAGCCUGAUCCAGCAAGGCCGGGUGAGUGAUGAAGGCCUUAGGGUUGUAAAGCUCUUUUACCCGGGAUGAUAAUGACAGUACCGGGAGAAUAAGCUCCGGCUAACUCCGUG